rnacentral:rRNA from 1 species
AUGUGGCGCGAAUUGCUCGCAGCCGCAGGAACCAAACUGCUCUACUCCACCGCGUACCACCCGAAGACGGACGGCCAGACGGAGCGGGUCAAUCAGUGCUUGGAGAUGUACCUACGGUGUGCGGUCCAUGACAUGCCGCGGCAAUGGUGCAAGUGGCUGCCGGUGGCGGAAUUUUGGUACAACUCUGCACAUCACGCCUCCCUGAAUUGCUCUCCCUUGAAGGCAUUGUACGGCAGAGAGCCCAACCUGGGGGCUUACCACACCUGA